rnacentral:rRNA from 1 species
UGGGGGAUAUUGCACAAUGGGCGAAAGCCUGAUGCAGCGACGCCGCGUGGGGGAUGAAGGCCUUCGGGUUGUAAACUUCUUUUGCUCUGAACAAGGCAUGCUAAUGGGUGUGUUGAGUGUAGGGGUUGAUUAGCGCCGGCUAACUACGUGCCAGCAGCCGCGGUAAUACGUAGGGCGCGAGCGUUGUCCGGAAUUAUUGGGCGUAAAGGGCUUGUAGGUGGCUGGUUGCGUCUGUCGUGAAAGCUCAUGGCUUAACUGUGGGUUUGCGGUGGGUACGGGCUGGCUUGAGUGCAGUAGGGGAGGCUGGAAUUCCUGGUGUAGCGGUGGAAUGCGCAGAUAUCAGGAGGAAUACCGGUGGCGAAGGCGGGUCUCUGGGCUGUUACUGACACUGAGGAGCGAAAGCGUGGGGAGCGAACAGG